rnacentral:rRNA from 1 species
CAAUAGCGUAUAUUAAAGUUGUUGCAGUUAAAAAGCUCGUAGUUGGAUUUCUGGUCGGAAGCUCCUGUCCUCUGAUGAGCGUACAAGUGCGUCCUACCAUCCUUCUGUUAACCUUUAAGGCUUUCGCGGCUUUCUAGGGGCUCAGAUAUUUUACCUUGAGAAAAUUAGAGUGUUUCAGGCAGGCUAGCGCCGGAAUACAUUAGCAUGGAAUAAUGGAAUAGGACUUUUGUCUCUUCUGUUGGUCAUGAGGCUCGAGUAAUGAUUAAUAGGGAUAGUUGGGGGCAUUAGUACUUAACUGUCAGAGGUGAAAUUCUCGGAUUUGUUAAAGACUAACUUAUGCGAAAGCAUUUGCCAAGGAUGUUUUCAUUAA